CUUCGGGUCGUAAAGCUCUGUCGAGGGGAAAGAAGUGUAUUGUGGCUAAUAUCCACGAUACUUGACGGUACCCCUAAAGGAAGCACCGGCUAACUCCGUGC
rnacentral:rRNA from 1 species